AGUUACAUACCUGAAAUUUUGAUAUUUGGUGUAGACAUUGACCCAAAACCGAAUAUAAUCCUAACUGAUAACUUUC